CCUACGGGUGGCUGCAGUGGGGAAUAUUGGGCAAUGGGCGCAAGCCUGACCCAGCAACGCCGCGUGAAGGAAGAAGGCUUUCGGGUUGUAAACUUCUUUUCUUGGGGACGAACAAAUGACGGUACCCCAGGCAUAAGCCACGGCUAACUACGUGCCAGCAGCCCCGUUAAUACGUAGGUGGCAAGCGUUCUCCGGAUUUAUUGGGUGUAACGGGCGUGUAGGCGGGUAUGCAAGUCAGAUGUUAAAACUAUGGGCCCAACCCAUAGCCUGCAUUUGAAACUGUCUGUCUUGAGUGCUGGAGAGGCACGCGGAAUGCCGGGUGUAGCGGUGAAAUGCGUAGAUAUACGGAGGAACACCAGUGGCGAAGGCGGCUUGCUGGACAGUAACUGACGCUGAGGCGCGAAAGCGUGGGGAGCAAACAGGAUUAGAUACCCCAGUAGUC
rnacentral:rRNA from 1 species